AUCAGAACCCCGCAGUUAAGCGUGCUUGGGCGAGAGUAGUACUAGGAUGGGUGACCUCCUGGGAAGUCCUCGUGUUGCACCCC
rnacentral:rRNA from 1 species